GUCUACCUACGGGGGGCAGCAGUGGGGAAUAUUGCACAAUGGGGGAAACCCUGAUGCAGCGACGCCGCGUGAGUGAAGAAGUAUCUCGGUACGUAAAGCUCUAUCAGCAGGGAAGAAAAUGACGGUACCUGACUAAGAAGCCCCGGCUAACUACGUGCCAGCAGCCGCGGUAAUACGUAGGGGGCAAGCGUUAUCCGGAUUUACUGGGUGUAAAGGGAGCGUAGACGGUGCGCCAAGGCUGGAGUGAAAUGCCGCAGCUUAACUGCGGAACUGCUUUGGAAACCGGCGAACUAGAGUGCGGGAGG
rnacentral:rRNA from 1 species